UGUUGUUUCUAACUCCCAGUUUAUCAUUUUUCUAUUAAUGUUCACUGGACAACAUAGUAUUCUUGCAGCUUAAGAGUUCAUUAUUUAAUAAUAAAGAAAUAUGUCACAUUUGCUCUACCUGGGUCUUAAAUAAGUUGUUUCUAGAGAAACAAGUUUUGUGCUUCUCUUCACAGUUGUUUCAUUUUUUUAAAAUCCCGGGGUACCCAGAAAGAAGGUCUAGAGGUUAGAGCACUAGAAUACAAAAGAUAAUUUAUUUUCUUAAAUUUAGGUGGAUAAGAUCAGCUCUUUUCAAUGUUUUAGUUAUUUUCGCUUGAGUUCCUAGCUUUAUACAUGUACUAGGAAUAUUUUCUUUUGUGGAAGGGGAAAGGGCUUUGAGGGAGGGGGGUGGGUAAGACAGUGGGAUAGGGUUAGGUAGGAGAGAACAUUUCUGAGAAAAAAGAACCUAUAAUGAAGCUACAGAUUCGUCAUUACUUCUUAUUCAGUGCUGAAUACUACCUCAUGCAAAAUAUUGGUGUGGUUGCAAGUUUCCUUCUGAAACUGACACAUCAGAGAGAUGAAUUACCAUAACAUUUUCAUUUUGCCUCAUUUUAUUCUCAUACACUUUCUCUUCUUCUGAUUUACUUCAUUUUAGUAGUAGAUUCUUAGUUAGGUAUUUAUUUCCCAUUGCAAGUGACUAUUUGAUCAGCACAUUAAAAACAAAACAAAAAAAUCCCCUUUAAAUUAUGAUAGCUGCCAAUAGAGUUUAGAUUGGUUUUUACCAUGAUCCAUCCUGAUAUUAUGUCAUUAGUUACUAUCUCAAGGUCACUAAAGUUAGAUUUGACAGUUUUCUACAGGUGUAUUUCAUGCUAUGCUCAGUGGGAAAAAGGGAGCUGGAAAGAUUGGGGAAAGUAGAUAUGUUGAAUGUUACGUAGUUGUUGAGCCAGAGAGGCCACUGGCUGCCAUGCCUCUUACCAAUCAAGUUCAAAAUAAUUAGAGUAGUAGUGCCAUUGAGUUUUCUUUUUGACUGAGUUUUCUUCAUUUUCCCCUAAAUUUAGUUACAAGAUACAGACUCAUCCUUUUUUCCCUAUCCAAAUACUUUGUUUUCAAAGCAGUCAGUUUUUUGUUUUUGCAUCCAAGCACUUUACUGAACCUGUUCAGUGAUUUCCUCUCAUUAAAAAAUAUCUUUUUUCCUCUACAAUUGUCUGAUAUCUGUGUCCUUCCAGAAGCACAAGUGCAUCAUAGGAGGGCUUUUUAAGCUGGUUUUAAAGGCAAGCAGUGCCUACAAAUAAGAACUUUGUGCAAGGAUCCUAAAUCUUCCUUUGGGUCAUGUUUUUCCUUUCUUUUAAACAUGUCUGAUGAAAAGCCACAAGGGCCAAAGGGCCAAAUUUUAUUUAUUUUCCUUCUUCUAACAUACCACACACUUAAACAUCAAGCAACAAGUUCAGUUUCUAAAUCCUAGGGAGUUUUAUUCCAUUUAUUCUAAUGUUCCAUGAUUUUGAAGUAUGACACACUUUACUAUCAAUUAUUUUCAGCAAUUCUCUGGGCAGAUAAACUUCUCCAUGAAGUACUGGGAGUUUAGUUUGCAUUGAUAUAUAACAAGAAUAGUGAAAAGAGCCAUGAUGCUAUGUAGAAUCUCUUUUUUCCAUUUGCCUAGGCUAAUUAGUUUAUGAACCUGUUCACAACGAAACUUAGCAUCCCUUUGACCUCUUAAAACCAGUAGACUAAAUUAUGGUCCAUCUUAUUACCAAAAUAGGUAUUGAGCUAAGAGAUCCUGCAGAUCCUGCAGAGCAGUGGUUCUCAAAAUGCAGUCCCUGGAGCAUCAGCAAGAAAAUCACUUGGGAACUUCUUAGAAAUACUAAUUCUCUGCAUCAGAAACCUGGGAAUGGAGCCCAGCAAUCCAUAUGAAUCAGAUGUCCACAAAGCUUUGGGGGCUUAUUAAAGCCCAGUUUGGAGACCCUUCUCUUAGAGUUUCUGAUUCAAUUGGUCUAGCCUGAUUCUGUGCAUAUCUAAAAUUUCCCAGGUGAUGUUGAUAGGGACACACUUUGAGUAUUACUACUCCAGAGUUAACCUGCCUAAUAAAACUAAUUGCACCCACGUUGCCAUUUAAACAAACUCCUUGACAUGGUGACCCACUGUCCAUUAAUGAAAAAUAUUAAAGAAAAUACAACUCAGAACUCUGAAAACUAGAAUCAUCCAGAUUAUCUUCUCAAUAAGUGUCACUUCAACUCACUUGAUUGACUGUAUGAGGGAAAUUCAGUUGACUUUUUCCUAUAUCCUUAUCAUAUCAUUAAAAAACAAACCGAAAAUGCUGUCCAUCUAAAGCAACAAAGACAAAGGACAGUUUGGGGAGAGGCAGGGAUAAAGGGAAUAGCUUGGUUGGGCAUCCAAGGUAAAAAAAAAAUAAAAAGGAUUAUUAUUGUACAUAGUAGUUCUGGCUAACAUUCCACUUCAUGGGGAUCAUUUUGAUGUUGAAUGGUCCCCAAGGCAUCUUGACAAGUCUGGUCCACUUGGCUCUUUACCCAGGGUAAUAUAAGACUCUUAUGGACUUCAGAAAUCUGGCAUAAAUGAGCUUAAGUCCAUUGUAUACAGUCCUAGUGUUUGCCUUCUUGAUAAAAUUACAUUUAAGAAUGUCAUUUCAUGAGUCAAAUUGUAUCUGCUAACACUGAAGUGUAUUGAGAUAUUGUUCUUUAGUUUAAGUAUUUAACGAAGUAAUAUUCAAAGGGGAUGUGUGGGGGUGGGACUGGGACCGGGUGGCUUUAUAUUGAUAAUGAAAUAUUCCAGAGCAAAACACAUUGUCCUAAUGAAGUUGUUGCAGCUCUCUUUGUUUUCUUGUGAGGCUGAAAUUGGCUUGUGGGUCACUUGUUGUGCAAAAGUGAAUUAAUUUCAAAUAGGAAUCAUGUUGCUUUUGUAAAACAAAGAAAAUCAACCACCUUGUCAGAAAUAUAUAUUGUAAGGCGCUCUUGGUAAAGAACAAUCCACAAACACCUGAUCUUGAUUGGAAAGCAUUGUUGGUCAUUAGGGAAAACAGAUGAUGCUGACUGUUGCUCCAGCUGUGUUGGCAAUUAAAGAUGACCUUGUUACUAGCUGAAAGUUGCUGUGAACUUUAGUAAACAAACCAGCUAACACCAUUACAGCACUGGUUAAGUAGACUUUCCCUGGCACUGGCUGGCAUUCAGCUGAGGAAGGCUAGGAUACCGACUCUAAUGACCAAGAGCCAGACUAGUUUAAGCUAGAAAUUCAGCAACAAAUACCUCUUGUGCUGUUUGAAUGCUAAGGUAUUAGUUGCAAAAGGCUUAUGCCUUCGCUCCUCUAGUGAGAGGAAUGAGCCUGAUGACACUAUUAUUGUUUACCUGUCAAACCAGGGUGGAAAUUUAGAGGGAUACAAGUACAGUAUGUCUCAUUAAGCAGUUUCUGUUGCUGAUUAGAUGAAGAUGAAGUUGUUGUAUAUGCUGAUCUGUAUGUUAUGUACAUUUUCACAGUGAUUGAAUCAUUGUAAAAAAAGACAAAGAAUCAUAACUGUCUAUUUUAUG
ensembl:lncRNA